CCAAGACACCCAGAGGCAUACCGUCAAAACUAACUACCUCAGCCCAAAAAUAUGAACAUGUGACAAAGUCGAACAAGUCAGAACAUUUAUUUCAUAAGAUCAUUGAUGACUACAGGAAGUUUCGACUGGGUUCACGGACAGGAAUAAAAGAUAAGGAUAAUGCCAGGCAGGCAGCGAGUCAUGCACUCCGUUUUUGCCUCUAUAUGGCUACUGGGCUACCUCCAAAAAUGGUCUCAAUGGAUAUGAAGUUCCUUCUCCAGAUUGACAAAUUGCGCAUGUGGCCACUAUACCUCACCGAAAAGGGUUACCUCCCAACUACUGUAAGAAACAUGAUGACAAAUGUCACC